AGAGACGAGAGAGAGAGAGAGAGAGAGAGAGAGACGGAGAGAGAGAGAGAGAAAAGAGAAUCUUUGGUGGUGACGGAAAAAUAAAAUUCAAGAUGUCAGUUUUAAAAUCGCUCUAAGAUACAAGAAAGAAAGCGUGUUUCUUCUGUGCGUCUUUUUUGUGUAUGUUGCCUAUAUGUGUCCACGCGUUGGAAUGAAAGAAUGAAUGAGUGAGAUAGAAUGAGAGAGAGGGAGAGAAUGAGUGAAUGUUAAGAAAAUGUUUGUAACUUUCUGCGCGUCGUGACGAGACACGAAAUGCGAAUAAUAUAAUAACAUGAGACGACACCACUACCACCACCACCACAACACCACUACCAACCACAAAUGUCACUGUCACUACUCCCAGAUCUGUUUGCUACUUUUACCGACUCUCAAGAGUAUCGCUAGAUAAAAAACAAAGAAAAGGAGGAGCGCGAAAGUUCGAAGAAUAUGAUAUGCGACGAAAGAGAAAAAAAAUAAGAAAGAUAGAGAGGGAGAAAGAAAGAGAAAAAAAUAAGCACGCAUGAAUCUAAACUACAUUAUUAUCCAGUUGUCAUUAAAUUAAAUUUCACAUUGUCUAGGAAGUACGAUUAUUAUUAUUAUUAUUAUUAUUAUUAUUAUUAUUAUUAUUAUUAUUAUUAUUAUUAUACGAAGGGAAGAACGCAGGAGGAGAAAGGAGAGUAAAAAAAAGAAAAAAAAAACAAAUACAGUAAGUUAUUAAGUUCCAAACGACAUCAGUGGUGACUUGAUUUAAAACACUUUUUAAUAUAUUUUAUACGUGUAUACACGUUACCGAUAUAUCUCUUAUCCCUCCUCCCAAACCUACCCCCGAAACUUCUAAAUCCUCUCCACACCUUAAGCGCCUCAUUAAAAAACCAUCUUCUUGCAUAUACGUCGGUAUAAUUAUUAUUCUUUUUGUUCGCAUCGUCCAUUCUUUUUUGUCUAUUCAAAAGGAAAAAAAAGAAAAAAAAAACUCGUUCAUCCUCGCGAUAUACUCGCAUUUUUUCUCUCCAAAUACUUAACGAACGGUCAUUGUUAGUAGUGUGCUCUAAUUGUGUCAUCGUUAAAAAAAAUAAAAAAAAAAACGAAAAAAAUCUGUAUAUCAUCCGAGAUGAGUGAAAAGAGAAAAAAUUCAAAAUUUAAAAAGAGUGAGAGAGAGAGAGAGAGAGAGAGAGAGAGAGAGAGAGAGAGAGAGAGAGAGAGAGAGAGAGAGAAAAGAAGAAGAAGAAGAAGGAGAAGAGAAGUUUCAAAGAGAUCUUCGCUUUUAAUCGUCGUCGUGGCCGUUUUCGCAACAAGCUCGCGCAAACGCGAUAGAUAAAAAUAUGGGACCGGGGAAGAGAAAAAGGAGAAAUUUUUUAGAUUCUUUUUUCUCUCUACAUUUUGUUUCCUCUUUAAAAAAUAAAAGACGAGAAAAAGAAAGAAAGAAAGAAAGAAAUAGAAAAAAGGAAUAAAAUAAAAAUGAAAAGAAAAUAAAGAAAAGUUAUCGAGAAGUUUCUGAAUUAAUAUAUCGAGAGAAACGCGCGUUAUACAUCAUUAUAUGUAAUGUAAUUCGUCCAAUUAUACCGCGACAACUUUUUCUUCAUUAAUACAUUGAUAAAAUACGUAGAGGGUGUCCCAAUUUUCUCGACUCUUUCCUCACGCACACUCCUCUAUUAAAUCAACCCUCCCACCGCUCUUUUGAAACGUUAUGCGCAAUAAUAUAUAAAUAUAUAUAUAUAUAAUCUAUAUAUCAUUAUACGGUCCCAGAAAAAAAAAAUGACAAAAAAAUGUUUAAUGCAUAUAGUUAUAAUCGUAUUUGCGCCGAAGAAAGGAGAAUAACGAGGGGAAAAAGAGAAAGAGAGAGAGAGAGAGAGAGAGUAUAUGGAGUUAUGAUACACGUACAUAAAUGUUGGAACAUUCCGUUCAGUCGACCUGCUCUUCCUUCUCCUCUUCCUUCUUCUCCUCCUUUUCUUCCCCUAAAAAAAACUUGUGACUAAAAAAUUUAAACUCUUUAGACAUUGGGUUUAGAGUGGGCAGUUUGAAAGGAUGAGAUUAUCAUUUCGUUGUGAUUCGCACGCAUUGAUAAUCGUUUCUCACAAGAAAAAAAAACGAAAAAAAAUUCGUAAUCUUAAAAUUAUAAAGUUUAACUAUUGAUUUUCGGUAGGAGGUUUAGUUGAUUAUAGAAAAAAAAUAUUUAAAAAAAUUAAAAAAAAAAAAAAAAAAAAAAAUAGAGAAUCAUUUGAGUAUACGAUUAUAUAAUAACACAUUACUUCAGCGUGUUUCUGAUAAAUUGGCGUAAUUGAGUUAUUGUGCGAUAGAAUGAAACAAAAAAAAUAUGCCAGAGAGAAAUUAGAAUUUAAGAGAAAUAAGAGAAAGAAAGAGAGAGAGAGAGAAAGAGGGAGAGAGAGAGGGAGAGAGAGAGAGAGAGAUAAAUAGA